CCUACGGGAGGCAGCAGUGGGGGAUCUUGCACAAUGGGGGGAACCCUGAUGCAGCGACGCCGCGUGGGUGAAGAAGCGCCUCGGCGCGUAAAGCCCUGUCAGCAGGGAAGAAAAUGACGGUACCUGAAGGAGAAGCCCCGGCGAACUACGUGCCAGCAGCCGAGGUAAUACGUAGGGGGCAAGCGUUAUCCGGAUUUACUGGGUGUAAAGGGGGCGCAGACGGCGGUGCAAGCCAGGAGUGAAAGCCCGGGGCCUAACCCCGGGACUGCUCUUGGAACUGCGUGGCUGGAGUGCAGGAGGGGCAGGCGGAAGUCCUGGUGUAGCGGUGGAAUGCGUAGAUAUCAGGAGGAACACCGGUGGCGAAGGCGGCCUGCUGGACUGCAACUGACGUUGAGGCCCGAAAGCGUGGGGAGCAAACAGGAUUAGAUACCCUGGUAGUC
rnacentral:rRNA from 1 species